CCUGGCUCAGAAUGAACGCUGGCGGCGCGUCUUAAACAUGCAAGUCGUAGGAGGAACCCCGAGUGCUUGCAUUGGGGGGAGAGUGGCGAACGGGUGAGUAACACUGUGGAUUAUCUGUCUUCAAGUCUGGGAUAACCCCGGUGAAACCGGGGCUAAUACCGGAUAAUUAUGGCAACAUUAGAGGUGGGGACCUUCGGGCCUAUCGCCUGAAGAUGAGUCCGCGUCCCAUUAACUUGUUGGUGCGGUAAUGGCCUACCAAGGCGACGAUCGGUAACCGGCCUGAGAGGGUGUACGGCCACAUUGCGACUGAGAUACGUGCCAGACUCCUACGGGAGGCAUCUGUUACGAAUCUUGCGCAAUGGGCGAAAGCCUGACGCAUCGACGCCGCGUGGACGAUGAAGGCCUUCGCGUUGUAACGUCCGGUAUGCAGAGGAAGACUAAGUGUAUAGUACAUCUCUUGCACUAUGACGGUACCUGCCUAAAGCCCCGGCUAACUACGUGCCAGCAGCCGUGGUAAUACGUAUGGGGCAAUGCGUUGUUCGGAAUUAUUGGGCAUUAAGGGCGUCUAGGCCGGGGACUAAGUUAGGUGUGAAAGCCAUGGGCUCAACCCCUGAAUAGCACCUAUGGACUGGUCUACUUGAGUUCUGGGAGACGAGAGCGGCAUUCCCGGUGUCUCGGUGAAAUGCGUACAUAUCGGGAAGAACUGCAGUGGCGAAGGCGGCUCUCUGGCCUAGAACUCGACUGCUGAAGCGCGAAAGCGUGGGGAGCGCACGGGAUUAGAUACCCCGGUAGUCCACGCUGUAAACGUUGUGUACUAGGUGUUAGUGGCUUGACCACUAGUGCCGUCGCAAACGCAUUAAGUACACCGCCUGGGGAGUACGUCCGCAAGGAUGAAACUCAAAGAAAUUGACGGGGGCCCGCACAAGCGGUGGAGCAUGUGGUUUAAUUCGAUGAUACGCGAAGAACCUUACCUGGGCUUGAACUG
rnacentral:rRNA from 1 species